rnacentral:rRNA from 1 species
CGGGCUUAACACAUGCAAGUCGAGGGGCAGCAUGGUCUUUGCUUGCUAAGGCCGAUGGCGACCGGCGCACGGGUGAGUAACACGUAUCCAACCUGCCGUCUACUCUUGGACAGCCUUCUGAAAGGAAGAUUAAUACAAGAUGGCAUCAUGAGUCCGCAUGUUCACAUGAUUAAAGGUAUUCCGGUAGACGAUGGGGAUGCGUUCCAUUAGAUAGUAGGCGGGGUAACGGCCCACCUAGUCUUCGAUGGAUAGGGGUUCUGAGAGGAAGGUCCCCCACAUUGGAACUGAGACACGGUCCAAACUCCUACGGGAGGCAGCAGUGAGGAAUAUUGGUCAAUGGGCGAGAGCCUGAACCAGCCAAGUAGCGUGAAGGAUGACUGCCUUAUGGGUUGUAAACUUCUUUUAUAAAGGAAUAAAGUCGGGUAUGGAUACCCGUUUGCAUGUACUUUAUGAAUAAGGAUCGGCUAACUCCGUGCCAGCAGCCGCGGUAAUACGGAGGAUUCGAGCGUUAUCCGGAUUUAUUGGGUUUAAAGGGAGCGUAGAUGGAUGUUUAAGUCAGUUGUGAAAGUUUGCGGCUCAACCGUAAAAUUGCAGUUGAUACUGGAUAUCUUGAGUGCAGUUGAGGCAGGCGGAAUUCGUGGUGUAGCGGUGAAAUGCUUAGAUAUCACGAAGAACUCCGAUUGCGAAGGCAGCCUGCUAAGCUGCAACUGACAUUGAGGCUCGAAAGUGUGGGUAUCAAACAGGAUUAGAUACCCUGGUAGUCCACACGGUAAACGAUGAAUACUCGCUGUUUGCGAUAUACGGCAAGCGGCCAAGCGAAAGCGUUAAGUAUUCCACCUGGGGAGUACGCCGGCAACGGUGAAACUCAAAGGAAUUGACGGGGGCCCGCACAAGCGGAGGAACAUGUGGUUUAAUUCGAUGAUACGCGAGGAACCUUACCCGGGCUUAAAUUGCAGAUGAAUUACGGUGAAAGCCGUAAGCCGCAAGGCAUCUGUGAAGGUGCUGCAUGGUUGUCGUCAGCUCGUGCCGUGAGGUGUCGGCUUAAGUGCCAUAACGAGCGCAACCCUUGUUGUCAGUUACUAACAGGUUCUGCUGAGGACUCUGACAAGACUGCCAUCGUAAGAUGUGAGGAAGGUGGGGAUGACGUCAAAUCAGCACGGCCCUUACGUCCGGGGCUACACACGUGUUACAAUGGGGGGUACAGAGGGCCGCUACCACGCGAGUGGAUGCCAAUCCCAAAAACCUCUCUCAGUUCGGACUGGAGUCUGCAACCCGACUCCACGAAGCUGGAUUCGCUAGUAAUCGCGCAUCAGCCACGGCGCGGUGAAUACGUUCCCGGGCCUUGUACACACCGCCCGUCAAGCCAUGGGAGCCGGGGGUACCUGAAGUGCGUAACCGCGAGGAGCGCCCUAGGGUAAAACUGGUGACUGGG